rnacentral:misc_RNA from 1 species
AAAACAACCCAUUGUUUGAUCAAAACUUUCUACUACAGUGGAUAUGGACGGACGCUAUCUAAUAUGCUUCUCCCACAUGCCUUUGGACCAUUAUUCCCAGUAAUUAGGAGUAACCCUUCACUUCAAAAUUCCUUGUACAAAGUCUCCAGCCAAAACUAACCACAUCUUCAACUGGAAUUAUUGCCUACAAUACAACAGCCUAUCCACCUGUCUAAUUUAACAGUCAGACUCUGCACUUCCAACUAGCCCCAACAAGGCAAAAAAAUGGCAUGUACAAAU